rnacentral:lncRNA from 1 species
GCUGAAUCAUGGCCUGAACCUCUGAUUGACCACCUGAGGCAAGCAAUGAGUCAGCCCUGGGAGCACAGGUGGAGGUAAUUGCUGCCGGAAGUAGAACCUUGCUCCACCUCUCCCAGACCCCAUUUAAGAUCUGACUACCAUUAGGGAAGGGUCUCUUUUGGAGAUCGUUCCUCUUGGAGUCUUCUCAGUAAGCCCAGAAUGGGGGUAAGCUUUCCAUCCGUCCAUUCUUUUUUAGUGUGAUAACUUGUUUAGCAUAACUUGCUUAUAUAUUUCUUAAUUAUAACAUUCAUAUAUUCAUUGAUUAUGCAAAAGCUGUUUUCUGUUAUGUUAAUUUUUGACUUAACAAAUGAAUUCUGUUAUGAGGCAGACAAAUUCAUUGUAAGUAUGUUUAUCUGAGGUCUGACCUUCUUGGGGUAAUUAGAUAUUGAUAGUAGUGGGAUACUGAUGUUACAGAAUAGGUUAAUAAUGAUGUGACACAGGCUUGGAUAGCCUUGUUUACUACGGAUAACAAUAAGAAAAAUCACAUAUUUUUGUUCUAUUUCUGGAUAUAUCUUUCGUUAAGAAAAAAAAAUCAAGCAAUCCAGGUUAUUUGAAGUCAUCCAAAAACAAACAAAAACAAAGCAGAAUAUCUGUACCUGAUACUAAAGGAAUCUAUAGCUUUAAAGAGUUUAUAUUUUUUUUUCUCCAGGUCAGAAAUAUGCAAAGCCACAUACUGAUGCUACACUUAUAGGAUAAAAGCCACGAAAGAAGAAUUUGGAGUUAACCAUUUGGAAUACAACUUGGGUGCUUCAAAUGGUGCAUCAAAGUCUGACAGUAACAAGGUCUCCUGAAGAGCUGUGGGGAUAUAAUUUCAGAGGUCCUGUUGCUUCUAUGGCUGCUGCAGCUGGCAAGGAGUGGAGUAGCUUGGGACUGUUCCAGCUGGUGUGUGGCAACCUGGAAUACCUGCAACAAGCAAGCUGGCCCUUACCUUCUGCUUGGUAAAAUUUGAAAUAACAUUUUGCUGAUUCCUCCAUCUUCUGUCUCAAAGCCAGUUAUUUGAAUUGAUAUUUUAAUAAAAUUAUGAAGGAGAGAAAGAACA